ACUGCGGAGACAUUACCACUAUAAGUCGGGGGGAAACUCCGGUUUCCCCUGUCUGAACCCUUGUCUUUUGCGUACUAUUUGUUUCCUUGGUGGGCUUGCCUGCCGAUAGGACAACCAUUAAACCUUUUGUAAUUGCAAUCAGCGUCAGAAAAAAAUUAAUAAUUACAACUUUCAACAACGGAUCUCUUGGUUCUGGCAUCGAUGAAGAACGCAGCGAAAUGCGAAAAGUAGUGUGAAUUGCAGAAUUCAGUGAAUCAUCGAAUCUUUGAACGCACAUUGCGCCCCUUGGUAUUCCAUGGGGCAUGCCUGUUCGAGCGUCAUUUGUACCUUCAAGCUCUGCUUGGUGAUGGGUGUUUGUCCCGCUUUUUGCGUGGACUCGCCUCAAAGCAAUUGGCAGCCGGCGUACUAGCCUGGGAGCGCAGCACAUUUUGCGCAUCUUGUCUUGAACGCUUGCGUCCAUUAAGCAUAUAUUUUAACUCUUGACCUCGGAUCAGGUAGGGAUACCCGCUGAACUUAAGCAUAUCAAUAAGCGGAGGAAAAGAAACCAACAGGGAUUGCCCUAGUAACGGCGAGUGAAGCGGCAUCAGCUCAAAUUUGAAAUCUGGCUCUUUCAGGGUCCGAGUUGUAAUUUGCAGAGGGCGCUUUGGCGUUGGCAGCGGUCCAAGUUCCUUGGAACAGGACGUCACAGAGGGUGAGAAUCCCGUACGUGGUCGCUGGCCUUCGCCGUGUAAAGCCCCUUCGACGAGUCGAGUUGUUUGGGAAUGCAGCUCUAAAUGGGAGGUAAAUUUCUUCUAAAGCUAAAUACUGGCCAGAAACCGAUAGCGCACCAGUUAAAGUGAUCGAAAGAUGAAAAGCACUUUGGAAA
rnacentral:misc_RNA from 1 species